CGGCCCCAACUGGUGAGCUGUUCUGUCACGGCUCUGACAGUACCAGGUGGGGAGGGGACGACUUGGAAAAGCAGGUCUGAGAGAGAUGCUUUCCAUUUGAAGAGCAGGGACGGGUCAGCUUGAUGAUGUGGUUUUGCAGUUUGACCAGAGGAAAUCCCCCACCCCAUCGCUUCCCUGCCUGCUGUCUGAAGAGGACUGAAGACCAGGGCUCCCACUGAGGCUGCAGGGCUGCUGCGGACCGUCUGUGGCCCCCUUCCACAUGAGCGGUGUCCCCCAGAGGCCUGGGGCGGUGGUCAGCAGCAGCAGCAUCAGAGGACCAAAAUGAGAGCAAUCCUUCAAAACCCACCUCUCAUCUGUGUAGACCAAAGUAUCAAUAAUCAUCCUUCGGGAAUCUCCUGUCAGCCCUCCACGGACUCCUCAGUGCCUAUGAGGGUCUUACCAAGUGGCAAAGUUUGUCAGGUUGGGCUAGAACUUUGGAUCCUGCCUCAGCCUCGAAGAGUACUGGGAUUACAGGUGUGUGCCACCACACCCGGGUCACAUCUACCUUUCAGAGUGUCGCCUGAAACUCUUAAAAUGCUGAGCACUUCUUGGAAACAGGCAAGACAUCCCGAGGUUCUUGCAGCAUCCCGAGGCAAGCUCCCUGUAGUAGAGAUGGAGGGUGACCCCAGACUUUCACUGUGGCCAGUGCUAGUUCUGGUGAUGCCCAGCGCCGGAGUCAGGUAAGAAGGUGGCUUCCCCAGAACCGGCUUCAGACAUUGAAGCUCCCACACAGGAGGAAGAACCAGCAGGUGCUUGAGAAGCAGGGCAGAGGGAGCCAAGGCAGGGUACGUGCUGUUCUGAUCCAAGACCCUUCCCCCAGCAAGUAUGGCCCUCCCUGUGUCCCCAGAUCAGCUUUGAAAAUCAAAUGCUGAGCCAGUUUGUCCUAACUGGGGACAUUUUUAACAUACUCAUAAAGGAAAAGAUAUAAGUCACAGCCAUGCUCCACCUACAGUGUGCUCAAAGCAGUACCCCGUCACCCCCAUAUGCAUGGGUUAUGAAACCCUUUCUCCAGUGUCACCAUACGACUUCUGAGGGGCCCAGUCACUUUGCCUUCAUGGUCCCCUUCCUCUAUAGAAAGUACUAGAAAUUGUAUUUUAUUAUAGAUUUGGCUUUCAUUGGUUUAUUUGGUUUUUGUUGUACUAGGGAUUGAGCCCACCAGCUCUACCACUGAGCUACAUCGUUGGCCCUUCUUAUUUUUUAUUUUGAGACAGAGUCUUGUUAAAUUGCCCAUAUAGGCACCAAAUCUGCAGCCCUCCUGCUGAGCCUCCCAAGUAGCUAGAUAUGAAGGCGUGUGCCAUCCCAUCCAGCACUGAGUUGGCACUGACAGGGUGCAGGGCACACUACCCCAUAGAAUGGCAUCUUGGCAUCGAGAAAACAGCAGAAGUUGGAAUAUCUCUCUCAUCCCUUCCCUUCCCUUUC